rnacentral:rRNA from 1 species
GAUGAACGCUAGCGGCAGGCUUAAUACAUGCAAGUCGAGGGGCAGCAUAAGUAGCAAUACUUGAUGGCGACCGGCAAACGGGUGCGGAACACGUACAGAACCUUCCUUCGAGCGGGGAAUAGCCCGGAGAAAUCCGGAUUAAUACCCCAUAGUAAAUUGAAAAGCAUCUUUUUAAUUUAAAGAUUUAUCACUUGAGAUGGCGUGUGCGCCUGAUUAGGUUAGUUGGCGGGGGUAACGGCCCACCAACGCCUUCGAUCAGUAACUGGUGUGAGAGCACGACCAGUCAC